rnacentral:rRNA from 1 species
UAGCAAACAGGAUUAGAUACCAUGGUAGUCCACGCCGUGAACGAUGUCGACCAGCCGUUGGGUGCCUAGCGCACUUUGUGGCGAAGUUAACGCGAUAAGUCGACCGCCUGGGGAGUACGGCCGCAAGGUUAAAACUCAAAUGAAUUGACGGGGGCCCGCACAAGCGGUGGAGCAUGUGGUUUAAUUCGAUGCAACGCGAAGAACCUUACCUACUCUUGACAUCCUGCGAAUUCGGUAGAGAUACCUUAGUGCCUUCGGGAACGCAGAGACAGGUGCUGCAUGGCUGUCGUCAGCUCGUGUUGUGAAAUGUUGGGUUAAGUCCCGUAACGAGCGCAACCCUUGUCCUUAUUUGCCAGCGCGUAAUGGCGGGAACUCUAAGGAGACUGCCGGUGACAAACCGGAGGAAGGUGGGGACGACGUCAAGUCAUCAUGGCCCUUACGAGUAGGGCUACACACGUGCUACAAUGGUCGGUACAAAGGGUUGCGAGCUCGCGAGAGUCAGCCAAUCCCGAAAAGCCGAUCUCAGUCCGGAUCGGAGUCUGCAACUCGACUCCGUGAAGUCGGAAUCGCUAGUAAUCGUAGAUCAGAAUGCUACGGUGAAUACGUUCCCGGGCCUUGUACACACCGCCCGUCACACCAUGGGAGUGGACUGCACCAGAAGUGGUUAGCCUAACGCAAGAGGGCGAUCACCACGGGGUCAAGGG